UUAAGUUAACAAGGGCGCAUGGUGAAUGCCUUGGCACUAGGAGCUGAUGAAGGACGGGACUAACACCGAUAUGCUUCGGGGAGCUGUACGUAAGCUAUGAUCCGGAGAUUUCCGAAUGGGGCAACCCAGCAGUUUUAAUCAACUGUUACCACUAGAUGAAUUCAUAGUCUAGUUGGAGGUAAACGCUGUGAACUGAAACAUCUCAUUAGCAGCAGGAAUAUAAAGAAAUUUCGAUUCCCUAAGUAGCGGCGAGCGAACGGGGAACAGCCCAAACCAAAGUGCUUGCACUUUGGGGUUGUAGGACUGAACAUUUGAGUUACCAAAGAACUUGAUAGUCGAAGGAUUUGGGAAAAUCCGCCAUAGAUGGUGAUAGCCCAGUAGAUUAAAUCAAAUUCUCUCAGUUCAGGAUCCUGAGUACGGCGGAACACGUGAAAUUCCGUCGGAAUCCGGGAGGACCAUCUCCCAAGGCUAAAUACUACCUAGUGACCGAUAGUGAACCAGUACCGUGAGGGAAAGGUGAAAAGCACCCCGGGAGGGGAGUGAAAUAGUUCCUGAAACCAUGUGCCUACAAUAAGUCAGAGCGCGUUAAUGCGUGAUGGCGUGCCUUUUGUAGAAUGAACCGGCGAGUUAUGAUCCCGUGCAAGGUUAAGACUAAAAAGUCGGAGCCGUAGCGAAAGCGAGUCUGAAAUGGGCGUUUUGAGUACGAGGUUAUAGACCCGAAACCAGGUGACCUAUCCAUGUCCAGGUUGAAGGUGCGGUAAAACGCACUGGAGGACCGAACCCGUGUAAGUUGAAAAUUGCUGGGAUGAGGUGUGGAUAGCGGUGAAAUUCCAAACGAACUUGGAGAUAGCUGGUUCUCUCCGAAAUAGCUUUAGGGCUAGCCUCGGAAUUAGGAUCAUGGAGGUAGAGCACUAUUUGGACUAGGGGCCCGUCUUGGGUUACUGAAUUCAGAUAAACUCCGAAUGCCAUUGAUUCAUAUCCGGGAGUCAGACGAUGAGUGAUAAGAUCCACCGUCGAAAGGGGAACAGCCCAGACCAUCAGUUAAGGUCCCUAAAUGUAUGCUAAGUGGAAAAGGAUGUGGAGUUGCAUAGACAACUAGGAUGUUGGCUCAGAAGCAGCCACCAUUUAAAGAGUGCGUAAUAGCUCACUAGUCGAGUGAUCCUGCGCCGAAAAUGUACCGGGGCUAAGCAUACUACCGAAACCAUGGAUGCGACCAUUAGGUCGCGUGAUAGGAGAGCGUUCUAAGGGCGGUGAAGCAAGAUCGUGAGGACUUGUGGAGCGCUUAGAAGUGAGAAUGCCGGUAUGAGUAGCGAAAGAUAGGUGAGAAUCCUAUCCACCGAAUGACUAAGGUUUCCUGGGGAAGGCUCGUCCUCCCAGGGUUAGUCGGGACCUAAGUCGAGGCCGAGAGGCGUAGACGAUGGAUAACAGGUUGAGAUUCCUGUACUAGUUAAGUGCGUUUGAGCAAUGGAGGGACGCAGGAGGCUAAGAUGUGCAUUCUGUUGGAUUAGAAUGUCCAAGCAGUAAGUCUUGUGAAGAGUCAAAUGCUUUUCACUUUAAGGACAAGCUGUGAUGGGGAGCGAAAUUUAGUAGCGAAGCGUCUGAUGUCACACUGCCGAGAAAAGCUUCUAGUGAGUACUUAACUACCCGUACCGCAAACCGACACAGGUAGUCGAGGAGAGAAUCCUAAGGUGAGCGAGUGAACUCUCGUUAAGGAACUCGGCAAAAUGACCCCGUAACUUCGGGAGAAGGGGUGCUGAUCGCAAGAUCAGCCGCAGUGAAUAGGCCCAGGCGACUGUUUAUCAAAAACACAGGUCUCUGCAAAAUCGUAAGAUGACGUAUAGGGGCUGACGCCUGCCCGGUGCUGGAAGGUUAAAAGGAUGGGUUAGCUUCGGCGAAGCUCAGAAUUGAAGCCCCAGUAAACGGCGGCCGUAACUAUAACGGUCCUAAGGUAGCGAAAUUCCUUGUCGGGUAAGUUCCGACCCGCACGAAAGGCGUAACGAUCUGGGCACUGUCUCAACGAGAGACUCGGUGAAAUUAUAUUGUCCGUGAAGAUGCGGACUACCCGCGACAGGACGGAAAGACCCCAUGGAGCUUUACUGUAGCUUGAUAUUGAGUGUUUGUACAGCUUGUACAGGAUAGGUAGGAGCCAUAGAAACCGGAACGCUAGUUUCGGUGGAGGCGUUGGUGGGAUACUACCCUCGCUGUAUGACCACUCUAACCCGCACCACUAAUCGUGGUGGGAGACAGUGUCAGGUGGGCAGUUUGACUGGGGCGGUCGCCUCCUAAAAAGUAACGGAGGCGCCCAAAGGUUCCCUCAGAAUGGUUGGAAAUCAUUCGCAGAGUGUAAAGGCACAAGGGAGCUUGACUGCGAGACAGACAGGUCGAGCAGGGACGAAAGUCGGGCUUAGUGAUCCGGUGGUACCGUAUGGAAGGGCCAUCGCUCAACGGAUAAAAGCUACCCUGGGGAUAACAGGCUUAUCUCCCCCAAGAGUCCACAUCGACGGGGAGGUUUGGCACCUCGAUGUCGGCUCAUCGCAUCCUGGGGCUGUAGUCGGUCCCAAGGGUUGGGCUGUUCGCCCAUUAAAGCGGUACGCGAGCUGGGUUCAGAACGUCGUGAGACAGUUCGGUCCCUAUCCGUCGCGGGCGUAGGAAAUUUGAGAGGACCUGUCCUUAGUACGAGAGGACCGGGAUGGACAUACCUCUGGUGUACCAGUUGUGCCGCCAGGCGCAUCGCUGGGUAGCUACGUAUGGAUGUGAUAAACGCUGAAAGCAUCUAAGUGUGAAACACACCUCGAGAUGAGAUUUCCCAUUCCUUUAUGGAAGUAAGACCCCUGAAAGAUGAUCAGGUAGAUAGGUUAGAAGUGGCAGUGCGGUGACGCAUGAAGCGGACUAAUACUAAUCGGUCGAGGACUUAACCAA
rnacentral:rRNA from 1 species